UACGUAGGGGGCAAGCGUUGUCCGGAUUUAUUGGGCGUAAAGAGCGUGUAGGCGGCUUGGUAGGUCCGCUGUGAAAAACUCGAGGCUCAACCUCGAGAUGUCGGCGGAAACCACUUGGCUAGAGUCCGGAAGAGGAGAGUGGAAUUCCUGGUGUAGCGGUGAAAUGCGCAGAUAUCAGGAAGAACACCUAUGGCGAAGGCAGCUCUCUGGGACGGUACUGACGCUGAGACGCGAAAGCGUGGGGAGCGAACAGG
rnacentral:rRNA from 1 species